AGAACUUUUAUCUAAGGAGUCAUUAACAUGGUCUCUUAUCAAAAGCCACAUAUAUUCAAAGAAAGGAAUGAUCAAGACAGAUAGCCUUCUUUCCUGAGAUAUUUAGAUAAGGAAGAUGGAUCUGUUCAAACUCAUCGGUCUGGUCACCCAGCCAGAGAGGAGAACAGUUCUAUGAAGUCUUUAGGAUGCCUUUUUUCUUCCUGAAAUACAACAGAUAUCCAUCCACUGCUGUUUACGAAGUGAAAAGGUUUCCUUGGAAUAUGUACAAAAGUAACCCUUUGGAAACAGUGAACUCCCUGAAGAAAAGGGGAAUGGAGG